UGCACUUCAAUGAAGAAAUGAAGCACUUGACUAGAAUUAGUUUAGACUGAAAAGCAUUCAUACCCAAUAUGUACUUUCUCUGAGCUCUCACUUCUAAGGUCAGGAUGCAGUUGGCCCUUGCUGUUGCAGGUACAGAGUGAUGACUCCUACUCAGCUUGUUGGCCACUACAACCUCCAUGAACUUUUCAGCAGAAUUGCCUGAAACCAGUACAUUCCCAGCCUGUAACACUGCAAGAGGCUCUAUUUCCCAUGUACAGGACUUUACAUUUUUUUUGCUGAAUUUGAUAAGGCUCCUGUUGGCCCCAUUCUUUCAGCAGGUCUGGGUCCCUCCACCCUCAACCGUAUCAACUGUUUGUCCCCCUUCUUGGUGUCACCUGCAAACUUGAAGAAAGGGCACUUCAUCACCUCCUUCAGGUUAUUGUUAGAGGCACUACAAGACAGAUACAUAUGCAACAUUUGUGUUUCAAGAAUGCAGUUGAUUCAUUGGGUCUUUCUGGUUCUGACACUCACAAAGUCUCUCCCCUAACUGUUCUUAACUGACUGGCUGAAGUGAUUUGAACUAAAGGUAAAUUAAUGGGCUGUCUUUUAUUUUACUGAAAAUGUUGCCUGUAUGAAGACCAAAAGAUUUUGUCAUUCAUAACACUGGGCAGUCUUUCAACAAAGGGAUUUCAAGAAAAUUUUUGGUUCAGCAAAUGCACAAAAGUGAGUCUUUCGAUUUCAUAGCUAGCAGGGUGGCACUGGCAGGGUGAACUUGGCAUAUAAUUAUCAUUAAUAUAUGAAUUAUAUUAAAACUGAAAUAAAAGGUCUUUGUGAGGAAAUAUGUGCUCUAAAAUGUUAGUGCUGUAUUCUGCAGAUUGUCAUUAUUUUGAAGCCCUAAAAUAAACAAAUGUUUCCAGAAGUAAA